rnacentral:lncRNA from 1 species
GGACAUGAAUGACAAGGGACCAGCAACAGAAGUCUUGCUAAAUAGGAGGGAGUCUGACUGCAUCCUUAUCAGAAAGAGGGUGAGCUGGCAAAGUCAAGAAGCAAAUUUAGGAAAAUUAAUUGAACAAUAGCGAAAAUGCAAGUUCAUUAAAGUUUAAUAAAGGCAAAAGAGAAACUGAUGGAGUCUCGCUAUGUUGUCCAAGCUCAACUAGAUAGACUAGAACUCCUGGGCUCAAGUGACCCUCCUGCCUCAGCCUCCCAAGUAGAUGGGAUCAUAGGUGUGUAUCACUGCAUCCAACUCAUAUAAUCAAGUUCUGAGCAACUUAUGCUCUCAAAUAUUAUUAAAUGAUACUCCCAAAGGAACUCUUACAUGCCAGACUUAGAUUUCCAUACAUCUGCUCAAGAUAGAACAUUUGAAUUUGACACAUGGCUUGUUGUCUGACAGCCAAAAAUUCAGUUUUGGCAGCAUCAGUGUCUUUGUCCACAGUAGAACAACAUUUAUGCCAUUAUUUCAAUAUAUUAUUACAAUGUCUUUUCAACAUUGUUUCUUAUAACCCCAAAACUUUUCAAAGGUGUUGCUUGUUUAUGAAGGUGGGAAAAAGGGUAAGAGUGAUGAAGUAGGAAGUAGGGAUUUUUAAUUUUUAAAACACAAACUUUUUAAUUUAUGUUUAAGACAAUACAAGAUUUUGUUUUAAAAAGUUGUUGCUAGAAAAAGAGCUUGAAAAUUACUGCUUUUUAAAACACGAGUGAAUAUGGAAAUAAUAAGUGUUGAUACUAAUGAUGAAAAUCAUAAGUAUCAUACAUUUAAAAUUGUUGCAAAUAUAGAAAACAAUAGACCUGCCAACAGCAAAACAUUUUUAGCCUACAAUACUCAUUGCUUUUAAGCUGGGAGACUAUCUAUUCCUUGGAGGAAGAAUGGGGAAAUUAAAGAACAUGAAUAAAAUGCCACGAAUAUACUGUGACUGCAUUUAACAAGGGAGGUGUGAUGAGGAAUUUUUAAAAAAAUUUUUUUAGCUUUUUUGGAAACAAAGUCCCAUGGUUGAAACACACAAACAUGUUCAAGUUUGCUGCACAUUUUCAGGAAUACAGUGUAUUCGAAAGAAAGUGGCCUGCACUAUAAAUCACGCAGGUAGGAAUUGUUCUGAGCCCAAGAAACUUCAACAUCUCAGAACUGGCUAACAACUUUUAAAUCCUAUAAAAGAAAGUUUUGACUCGGGUCUGUUUUAUGACUGCCUCUGGGACUAUGACACUGAUAUGCAGGAUUUUUCAGCCUUAACACUAUUGACAUUUAGGGUAGGAAAAUGCUUCAUCAUGAAAGGAGUUGUCUGAGCCUUGUAGUAUGUUUCAAAGCAUCCUUGACCUCUACCACUACAUUCCAGUAGCAUCCACCCUCUCCCACCCCAUCUCCAACUUUCUCUCCGCCCUGAAGAGUGACAAAAUGUCUCCAAACAAUGCCAAGUGUCCCAUGGUUGUAUAUUGCCUCUCUAGAGAACUACUGAUAUAAACUAUAGGACCAAGCCUGACAGAAGAGCAUAACCACAAAGUGAUGCUAGGAUUACUUCACAUGCUUUCUGGACUAAAGAAAUCCAAAUGAAACAACAUUAUUGGUUAAAGUAAUUGUGUUUCAGUACCUAACAGUUUCUCAACUGUUAUAGUUUAGGUCUUGCUUUCCAAGCAUUACUAAAUGGGCAAAUUCAGCUGAGACCAUUAUGUUAAUAUUGUCGACUUUGUUAGUUUAUAAGACAUCAUUCUACUGCUAUCUUGUACUUCAGUUUGGUGUUUUAUGACCUAUAAAUAUAACAAUCUAGGUGAGAGGUUUAUACUUUCAUGUAAGUGUCUUUGAAUGUUCCUUAUAGGUAAAAUUAGUGCUAUAAAAUAUGACCUCUUGAAUUUCACUGGGUUUUAAAUAAGGAUUGUUGAUAACUUGAAAACUCU